GUGAGUCAUCGAAUCUUUGAACGCACCUUGCGCUCCUUGGUAUUCCGAGGAGCAUGCCUGUUUGAGUGUCUUGAAGUCAUCAACCCCUUCCUGUUUUGCUACGGGAUGGGGUUGGAUGUGGGGGCUCUGCUGCCGUGAGGCGGCUCCCCUUGAAUGCAUCGGUUGGGCCUGCGGGUCAAACUUGACUGGGCGUUGUACCAUCCUCGCUCGACAAAGUACCCCUUUUCGAGCCCUCCCCCGACCUGCCUCUUGGAGUGGUGGUCAAAGCAAACUUUGAAAUCUGACCUCAAAUCAGGUAGGACUACCCGCUGAACUUAAGCAUAUCAAUAAGCGGAGGA
rnacentral:misc_RNA from 1 species